rnacentral:rRNA from 1 species
GACGAACGCUGGCGGCGUGCUUAACACAUGCAAGUCGAACGGAAAGGCCCUGCUUUUGUGGGGUGCUCGAGUGGCGAACGGGUGAGUAACACGUGAGUAACCUGCCCUUGACUUUGGGAUAACUUCAGGAAACUGGGGCUAAUACCGGAUAGGAGCUCUUGCUGCAUGGUGGGGGUUGGAAAGUUUCGGCGGUUGGGGAUGGACUCGCGGCUUAUCAGCUUGUUGGUGGGGUAGUGGCUUACCAAGGCUUUGACGGGUAGCCGGCCUGAGAGGGUGACCGGCCACAUUGGGACUGAGAUACGGCCCAGACUCCUACGGGAGGCAGCAGUGGGGAAUAUUGCACAAUGGGCGGAAGCCUGAUGCAGCAACGCCGCGUGCGGGAUGACGGCCUUCGGGUUGUAAACCGCUUUCGCCUGUGACGAAGCGUGAGUGACGGUAAUGGGUAAAGAAGCACCGGCUAACUACG